UGUUUGUGCAAUCCACAAAGACCUAAACAAAAUGAGAAAAUGAACCACACCGAGAUAUCUACUGGCAAUCUCCAAACGACAUAACGCCCUUAGGAGAAAGAGGCAGGUUUGGAAAUGAGAAACCUUUGCAUUCCGGCUCUGCCUCUGGCUAUCCGUGACCCACGCUAUCGAAAAACCCACCUCAAAAUCAACAUCAAGGGGAGGCCAAUGGAAUGGUUCGGUGGAUAAAGGUGCCUGCCGCCAAGCCUGACAACCUAAGUUCAAGGUCCAGCAUCCACAGGAUAUAAAGAAAGAACAGGCUCCUGAGACCUCCCAGGUACACUGGGCUCUCUCUCUCUCUCUCUCUCUCCCUCUCUCUCUCUCUCUCUCACACACACACACACACACACAAAUAAUAUAACAUAACAUAACAUAACAUGAUUUAAUUUUUUUUAAACCAGAAAAAAUGGCUCAACAGUUAAGAGCACUUGAUAUUCUUGCAGAGGACCUGAGUUUGGUUCCCAGCACCUACAUGUCAGCUCACAACCAUUUCUAUCUCCACUUCCAGGCUAUCUUGCACCCUCUUCUGGCUUCCAUGGGCACCGGACAUGCAUAUGAUGCACAGGCUUGCAUGCAGGCAAAACACCCAUGUACAUAAAAUACAAGUUAAUUUAACAUUAAAACAACCUUUAAAGGUGUGGGGCUCAGCGGCUAAGGGCACUGGCUGCUCUUCCAGAGGAGCUGGAUUCAGUUCCCAGUACCCGCAUGGCACCCAACAACCAUCUGUAACUCCAGCCCCAGAAGAAAUCCAAUACCCCUUUUCUGGCCUCCUCGGGCCCCAGGUGCUCCCACAGUGCACAGACACACACAGACAAAACAGCUAUACUCACAAUAUAAACAUAUUUCUGCCGUAUGUGCUCAGAAUCAAACUCAGGUUCUCUGCAAGAGUGAUAAGCACUUUUAAUUGCUACACCAUCUCUCCAGAUCUCCACAUUAUUUUUUGAGACAGGGUUUCUCACAGGAAUUCAUAAACUGACUAUAGGGACUAGCCAAUAGACCAUCUCUGCUGCCCUAGCACCGGAAUGGAGGUGCGGGCCACAGUACCCAGCUUCUCACAUGGGUACUGGGGAUCCGAGACCUCAGAUUCUUCUAUUGUGCAGCAAGCAUUUUUACCAGUGCCGCUAUCUCACCAGCACAAAUAAUCAGUUUAUAUUGUGAAAAUCAGUUUGGUAUUAAUUGGCUUCAAACCUAAUGUAGGUAGCCAACUACAUACCUUGGGUUCUAGGAAGAAAGAGGAAGGAAAAGAAGGCCAGUGUGUACUUAAGAUUGUGGCCAUGUGCUCUAUAAACAAGGCUCUAUAAGGGAGGAAAAUAUCAAUAUGCUUAUUAAAGUGACACUAAAGUGAGGUCUUCUAUACUCCUGGGCAAAUAUUCCAGAAAAACCUAUCAAGAAGGCAGGUUAGGAACUUCCUUAAGGUUUAAGAUGAGAUAUCAAAUUUGUAUCGGGGAGCUGAGCCCAACAGAGCACCUGGCUCCUGCUAGAGAAACAAUAGAGGGCAAGAAACAAGCACCCAUAUUUAAAAACUAUCUCAUACUCUAAAUGCUUUAGAAGGGAAAAAACACUGUCUUUGCUGCUGCUCAAUGACAAAUAUUCUGACACCAUCAGUCAUUCAGCCAAAGGCAGGUUGACUGGAGACAGAGCUUCCCACCCAGGGACACUGGGGUAAGUGUCUAAAGAUAACACCUGGAUUAUGUUGCUCUGGCUGAUGUCUGCAAAACAAAACACCAACUAGACUUAACUGCUAUCCCUGUCAUUCUCUAUUUGUGGGUCAGCACUGCCCCCUGCUGGACAUUAGACUUGCACCAGGUUAUUUAACCAUCCCCUAGAUAGGAAACUCACACGGAGUAACAGUGUGGCCACACACAGUAACAAUGUUGCCACAUCAGUUACAACGCUGCCACCCCAGAUCGCUGUGGAGAUAAAAUGAAUAAAUACAGAAGAAAACUCCAAGAGCUGACAGCCGGUGAGUGCUCACUCUGUUGGCACAAUAGCGAUUACUAUUGUGCCGGUCACCCCCAGAUCCAUUUAGUAAAUAACAUUCAGAUCAGCACUUCAUAUGCCCUAAUGCCUCCAUGGGGCAGUGUCUAACCUGUACUAAACAGUGCUAUCAUCUGCCUUAUUGUCAUUGAAGCAUAGACUACAUAAAUGACGACUAUCAGGAUCAGUGAGAUGACAUACAUGCAGAUACUCAACAUACCCAUAAAAAUACAUAGAUCUUGAAAAACAAGCCUACCACAGCAAAUAGAAAUUGAAGAAUUCAUUCUCAAUAUGUAGAUAUAUGUACAUACUUCUGUAUGUGUUUGGGUAGAGAGGGGGAUAGAUGAUAGAUAGAUAGAUAGAUAGAUAGAUAGAUAGAUAGAUAGAUAGAUAGAUAAUCUUUCUUAUAUUAGUCCCAUAACUUCUAACUUACUCAGAAAACAGUACAAGCAUUUCCUGCUGAGAGAGGUACUAGACAGAGUAUAACUGUAUUUCCACUGCUCAUAAAGAUUGUCUUAGAGAUAGUAACAACGUAAUUAACGAGUAUGGGUGAGAGACUCUGUAAUUUGUAAAGUAAAAUUAUAUCUGCAGAUGCCAUACCAUACACACACACAUAUUCAUAUUAAUAUACAAGAAUCGAGUAAGGUCCAGUCUUAGUUUGCUUCUCCAAUGCUGUGAUAAACAUCAUGGGUGAGAGCAACUGGAGAACAAAAGGGUUCACACGGCUCACAGCUUACAGUCCAUCAUCCCAGGAAACCGAGGCAGGAACCUGGAGGCAGGACUGAGGCAGAGACCACAGCAGCAUGCCGGCAUGCUGCUUACUCACUCGCCUUUUUGCACAACCCAGGACCACAGCCCUCUGGACCCUCCUGCAUUGGUUAGAAAAAAGAAAAUGUCCCCCCCACCACCACCAGACAUGCCCAUGAGCCAAUCUGAUGGAGGCAAUCCCUCAGUUGAAGUUCCCUCUUCCCAGGUCACACUCAAGUUUGUGUCAGGAUGACAAAACCAACCAGCACAGAUGUUCUAAGAAUAGGAAAUGACCAUGCAUAAACCAGUUUUCUUCCUACCAAAAAUUUUU
rnacentral:lncRNA from 1 species